GCUCAUUUCUGUCACACACAUACUAGAAUUAGACCAAACCACAAAAGAUUAGCAGGGCUCCUGAAUAAGAAUGCCAGGCACUUUUAUGAAAAAUUCCAUAUUUUU